rnacentral:tRNA from 1 species
GCUAGCAUAGCUAAGUGGAUAAAACGUGCAACUCCUAAUUGCACGGUAGGGGUUCGAUUCCCCUCGCUGACG